GAUAAUUUUUCUGAGAGUUUCCUUGGCCUAGAUAUCGCCUAAGAAUACCUAGGAAUCGAUUUAGAUCGAAGAAAAAGUUCGGAAACCCUAUUUUACAUAGUGGCCGAAACCUAUUGCUUAGGGUACCGUGUCCAAAAAUAAUUUUUGGGUCUCUAUGACCUGAGCCAUUGCGUAGCUCUUUCGAUUGUCGAAAUUUUGGCGCUGGUUUCGUGUCAUUCCGAGUUCUGUAGCUCGAGUUAUGCUCGUUUUAGCGAACGAGGUUCUGUCGUCUAUCCAUGCUUAAAAAAAUUGUACUCUGAAGCUUCUUAAGCUUUGUCUAAACGCUAGUUAGUAUUGUAUUGACCGAAUUGACUUGUUUUGAUUGACCUUCGCUUCGUUUACUCAAAGAUUCGUUUGGAGGAACACUUGGAGCAGGAAAAGAGGAUUGUGAAGGAGCCUUGCUUGAACACACUGGACGAGUUCGAGACGUCCAACAGCUGAUUCAAGAUGGAUCGUCGUUCGGGGAGGAUCCGGAGCGCAAUGACUAUUACUGAGCCUUUGACGUGGACCCGGACUUCAUGCAUGAUCGGAUGAGGGUCGAUGUUAGGAGUGUAUUAUAUGGGGGGAUUGUUUUCACAGCUCUGAUUGUCAUUUCCCGUUUUGGGGCUGACUUAUCUCCUUGAAAACUGUAUUCAUAAAACUCAUGGCUCUGACCAUGGGAUGCACUUAUUCGCCUGCGGGCACUAUCCCCAAUUACUUUAUGUUUAUUA